rnacentral:lncRNA from 1 species
UGAAAGAAUACUCAUCUAUCCACAAAUAUUCUUGUUAUCCUAAUUUCUAAAUCACAAAACCAAAUCUACAGUAUUUCUUAAAAAAUGAAAAAUUUCCAAAAAUAGCAGUUUUAAGAAAAUUAUUUAAAAAAACAACAUAUUGAUGAAAAAUUCGUUAAAGAGCACUCAUCUAUCCACAAAUAUUCUUAUUAUACUAAUUUCUAAAUCACAAACCAAAUCUACAGUAUUUCUUAAAAAAAAAAUUUUUCCAAAAAUAUCAGUUUUUAAGAAAAUUAUUUAAAAAUACAACAUAUUGAU